rnacentral:lncRNA from 1 species
CCUUGGUUUCUGCUGAUGGAGCAUCUGCAGCUGGGCUAAUAUCGGGAGCAGGGGCAGGAGCUGGUGGCAUUGGAGGAAUGUCAGUUCCGAAGAUAGCCUCUGGAAGGAGGACUUUAUCGACUUGGUAUAUGGCAACAGGGUCAGUUGAGUGAACAGCGCUGGAAACUUUCGUUUUGCUCCAUCCUGAAUCAAGGUGAACAGUGCCGGAAUUGUCUGUGAAGUUCAAACUGUAUUGGCUACCUGCGAGGGUACUAACAGGGCCUUUGGUACUAAGCUUGUUGAAGUCGGCGAGAGAGUAGAAUUUGGGCAUGGCAUGGAAA